rnacentral:rRNA from 1 species
AACGAACGCUGGCGGCAGGCCUAACACAUGCAAGUCGAGCGAGGACUUCGGUCCUAGCGGCGGACGGGUGAGUAACGCGUGGGAACGUGCCCUUUGCUUCGGAAUAGCCCUGGGAAACUGGGAGUAAUACCGGAUGAGCCCUUUGGGGGAAAGAUUUAUCGGCGAAGGAUCGGCCCGCGUUGGAUUAGGUAGUUGGUGGGGUAAUGGCCUACUAAGCCGACGAUCCAUAGCUGGUUUGAGAGGAUGAUCAGCCACACUGGGACUGAGACACGGCCCAGACUCCUACGGGAGGCAGCAGUGGGGAAUCGUAGACAAUGGGGGAAACCCUGAUCGAGCCAUGCCGCGUGAGCGAUGAAGGCCUUAGGGUUGUAAAGCUCUUUCAGCUGGGAAGAUAAUGACGGUACCAGCAGAAGAAGCCCCGGCUAACUCCGUG